CCGGUUGAUCCUGCCGGAGGCUACCGCUAUUGGAGUUCGAUUAAGCCAUGCGAGUCGCGAGUCUUAGGGACUCGGCGUACCGCUCAGUAACACGUGGGUAACCUGCCCUAUGCUGGGGGAUAACCUCGGGAAACUGAGAAUAAUACCCCAUAGUUCACCACGCCUGGAACGGUUGGUGGACCAAAGCUCCGGCGGCAUAGGAUGGGCCUGCGGCGUAUCAGGUUGUAGGGGGUGUAAUGUACCCUCUAGCCCUCUACGCGUACGGGUGUUGAGAGACAUCGCCCGGAGAUGGAUUCUGAGACACGAAUCCAGACCCUACGGGGUGCAGCAGGCGCGAAAACUUGGCAAUGCGAGAAAUCGUGACCAGGGAACUCCAAGUGCAUCGGGUAAGACCGAUGCUUUUCUUGACUCUUCAAAGGUCUUGGAAUAAGGGGUGGGUAAGGACGGUGCCAGCCGCCGCGGUAAUACCGGCGCCCCAAGUGGUAGUCGCUUUUAUUGGGCCUAAAACGUCCGUAGCCGGUCUGGUACAUUCGUGGGUAAAUCAACCAGCUCAACUGGUUGAAUUCUGCGAGCACGGCCAGACUUGGGACCGGGAGAGGUGUGGGGUACUCUCAGGGUAGGGGUAAAAUCCUGUCAUCCUGAGAGGACCACCUGUUGCGAAGGCGCCACACUAGAACGGAUCCGACGGUCAGGGACGAAGCCUAGGGGCACGAACCGGAUUAGAUACCCGGGUAGUCCUAGGUGUAAACGCUGUGGACUUGAUGUUGGGGGCGCUCCGAGCGCACUCAGUGUCGAAGCGAGGAUGAUAAGUCCACUGCCUGGGGAGUACGGUCGCAAGGCUGAAACUUAAAGGAAUUGGCGGGGGAGCACCGCAACCUGAGGAUUGUGCGGUUUAAUUGGAUCAACGCCGGG
rnacentral:rRNA from 1 species